CACACACAUCCCGGAUAUAUAGCCCGGAUAAGUUUAACUUGCACGUGCACGGUAGACCAUUCUCACGUGCACAAAUGGCUAGUAGUUCGAAAUGUGAGGUGCUAUGCUGACAGAUUGUGGGAAUUGCGCUUUCUCUGCGAGCAGUUACCACACUCAAAAUCGACUUUCUCGAGAAACAAUUGACUCCAGAAAAGCUUUGCGUGAUGCAGUUAUUAUACAAGACGGCAGGAAUUCUAGAAGAGUAACCUGGAUAACUUCCAUUAUUGCACCUGCCAGAAGACAAAUUACAUGUGUGGUUUAGGCAUAAAUCACCUAUGUUUCGAUUAAUUAACAUUUCUGGAUCUCGAUAAGGUUUGAAUUUUUAGUUCAUCUUUUGAGAUUCUCCAGAGUUACACAGAAAGUGCCUUUUCUUCAGGGAGCUGCCGUGACCAAUUUUCUGAAGAAAUGAGUGCAACUAAGUUUGUAUAGCUGCAUUGCAUUUUGACUCGUAGUGCUUUUAGCUAUUGUACUUUGUACAUUUGAUAGAUUAUUUGCAGGAUCUUUUGGGAGACCAGCCAUGCUGAAAGUGAUUUCUGAAUAGAUUUGCAUACAUGAUGAUGGUGGGUAUAUCUAUUUAUAUCUAUAAUGCUCACUUGAGCGAUCUGCCAUUCAUUGUGUCCCUGGCUGUUAGAUUGGGAGUCUUCUCAGAUAGGGCUCCAUAUAUGAGGGCUAGCUGUUACAGUAAUUCUGGUUUCAAAACUUGAUAAAUACCAAAGGGCGGUGUUUCUUUACUAUGAUGAG